GACAACAGCGAGGCAGAAGAGACAUUUCACUUUAUCAGCAUACAAGUGAUUAUCUGCGAGGCCAGAAUGUCACAAUUUGAUUGGAAGAAAUGAGGGAGCCAGCUGAGCUAGGAGACUGCAAGGUCUCUUCAACAUUGAGUGAAACUCUGGAACAGCCCAUCUGGAUUGGCAGACCGGGUUGGAGGUCCCCCUUUUCAGGAAGGGCGACCACAGGGUGUAUUCCAGCCACAUUGGGAUCACACUCCUCAGCCUCCAUGAGAAAGUCUAUUCCAGAGUGCUGGAGAGAACGCCUACCUUUUAAAACUUGAGAGCAUCACCACUGCCUGCGUGAUGUUGGCCAGAGGGA